AACGAACGCUGGCGGCAGGCUUAACGCAUGAAAGUCGAGCGCCCCGCAAGGGGAGCGGCAGACGGGUGAGUAACGCGUGGGAAUCUACCCAUCUCUACGGAAUAACGCAUGGAAACGUGUGCUAAUACCGUAUACGUCCUUCGGGAGAAAGAUUUAUCGGAGAUGGAUGAGCCCGGGUUGGAUUAGCUAGUUGGUGGGGUAAAGGCCUACCAAGGCGACAAUCGAUAGCUGGUCUGGGAGGAUGAUCAGCCACAAUGGGACUAAGACACGGCCCAGACUCCUACGGGAGGCAGCAGUGGGGAAGAUUGGACAAUGGGCGCAAGCCUGAGCCAGCCGUGCCGCGUGAGUGAUGAAGGCCCUAGGGUUGUAAAGCUCUUUCACCGGUGAAGAUAAUGACGGUAACCGGAGAAGAAGCCCCGGCUAACUUCGUGCCAGCCGCCGCGGUAACAC
rnacentral:rRNA from 1 species